rnacentral:lncRNA from 1 species
UUCAUUCAACAAAUAUGUUUUGAACCCCUGUUUAGGUCAAACUACUUGAGUAUUUGAGAAUACAAGAGUUGCAAAUGCACAUUCAAUCACUAUGUUCAUGGAACAUAGUGUCUGGCCAGAGAAAUACAAGUAAUCAAAAAAACCUCACUGCUGAAUGUUUUCGUUAUAAACCAUACUACAAAGGAACAUGCAAGUGCUAUGAGAGGCUCAGACAGGUAGCAACGAACUGGGAUUGAGCACCAAGGGGGGCUUCCCGGGAGAGACAGGGUUAGCUAGGUGGAGUUGUGGGGGAUGCAAUUCCAGGCGGGAGAGAGCUUGGGACCCUUACGGAAGGCCAGCACGCUCCUGCCCGGAAAAGGAGGGGGAAAUGGUGGGAGAUAAAGUUGGAGAACUGGACAGAGGUGAGACCCUACGGGGAAAGGUGGCCCCAUAACUGAUAUUGAUUUUGGUUUUAAGAGAAUCAGCUAGUCCUUGAAGGGUCAUAAGGAGGAAGAGGACAUGAUCAGAUUGACACCGAAAAAUCUCACCCUGCUGCAGCGUGAAAUGUGAAACUGCUGGGGCCCAGAGUGUUUGAAAGGAGGCCAUUUAGGAGGCUGGUGGUGGUGGUGAGGACCAGGACGAUGGGUGAUGUGGGAUGGAGUGAAGGGGACAGGGCUGAGAGCUCCCCAGGAGCCAGAUGGAUAAGGAGGCCAGUGACAGAUGAUGAUGGGGGUGGAAGAGGAAAGGGCUGUGUCAAGGAUGAUGCUUCUCAGCAGGGGCACAGAAGUCUAAGACAUCAGUCCCACUUGAGAAUGGGAUUGCUUGCUGGAGGAGAGAGACCAGCAAGUGUAACCAGAUAUGAAGUGGGCAGUUUCAACCAAGGCAUCAAGCUACGAUAAUGCCACUCUGUAAAGGAGGCCCUAGACCAUGUACAGAGCUUUCAGACAAAUCAGUUGAAAACCAGUUAAACUGUUCUUGGGCCCUUCUUGAAGAUUAAAGAUAUAAAAGGGAUGACAUAAUGCUGAUAGAAUCAUUGAUUUUUUUUUUUAAGACAGGGUCUUGCUGUGUCACCCAGGCUGAAGUUCCGUGGCACCAUCAUGGCUUAUAGUAGCCAUGGACUCCCAGUCUCAAGAGAGUCUCCCACCUCCGCCUCCUGAGUAGCUUGGCUCAUAUUUUAAUUUUUUGUAAAGAUAGGUCUUACUAUGUUUCCCAGGUUGGUCUCGAACUCUUGGGCUCAAGUGAUCCUUCCUCCUCAGCCUCCCAAAGUGCUGGGAUUAUAGGUGUAAGCCACCGCACCUGACCCUCAUUGAUUUUUUAAAAGGAUUUCAUGGAGAAAACUGGGCUAGGAACCCCAUCCUCAAGGUAGAGGGUUGGGGGUCAGUGCUUCCUCCUGACUCCAGGCUUAGCGAGAAGGGCUUCCACAAGGCCACCCAGAGAGUUUGCCGUGGAAUCCCCCAGUUGGGUCCCAGAGCACUGGAGCUGGAGCCCCACUCUGGCCUGAGGAAGCUGAAGGGGCCCAGAGCAGCAGAGCUGGGCUGAUGGAGGGUCAAAGCAGGAUCAGUCCUGGUGGCGGGGAUGUAUGCUCAAAAGUCAGCCAGAGGUCUUUAGAAAGGAUAAGGGGACCUUGGCAGUGGGAGGCUGUGGGGUGUAGUUCUGGAGCAGAAGUGAAGGUGGGAUCAGGAGAGGCCCAUGUCAGGGGAUCCUGGUCAGAGGGGAGCCUGGGAAAACCCACAGGCCUUCCCACGGAAGAGUUGGCUUUAAACAUCCAUGAGGACCACAGGAAUACAUACAGUCCUCUCACGAGAGUGACCCAACCCUGCGAUGGGGGUGGCUGGGGCAUAUGUCAGAAUCUGCAACUACCAAGAGCAGGAAGAGGUCAGCAGGACAGGAGAUGACUGGCCCCUUCCCUAGGCAGCAGCUGAGCUGCCAGGCCUGGCUAAGGAAGAGACAUGGAACAGGCUGAGUUUCAUGAACAUCCAGCGUGGGCUCCUACAGGCUCUAUACAGCUCUAAUUGUUGACUUGAGACAAUAUUCAUCACUUACAGGGUCUGUAAAACUUUUAAAUGAUCUGAAAGUGAUCCACCAAACAGUCACAGAUCUGUUCAAGAUUUUAUCUAGUGUCAAGGGAAGGACUGUUCUCACUAAGCAAAAAUAAAUGUGCUUUUUAUCAUCUGGGAGUCCUGCUUGUUGGAUGUACUGGGUACAGAAGUAAUUACAAAAUGAUGAGCUGUGUGCAACAAUUGAGUAUGAGUGAAGGAGAGAGGAACUUGAGGAGCAGAGGAAGGUUUUACAGAAGUGACUGCUGACUGGGCCUUGGAUUGCAUGUUGGAACUUGCCACUGAGGGAAGGCAAGGCAUUACAAGCAGAUGGAUCUGAAUCUGAAAAGUCAGCAAGAAAUGAGUUUGCACGUGGUCACACAGGGUUGGGGGGGGGCGUGUAGAGGACAGAGGCAGCACCAGACUUUGGCGGAGACUUUGCAAACAGGGCUAAGGAAUUGGUCAUUUGUUUCCUGAAACAGAGGGUAACAAGAAAAUAAUGUGUCCUCACAUCAAUUUUCUGGAGAAAUGAUUCUUGCAGGUGCGCCAUAGGAAUUCCAGCCUGAGUAAGAACUCUGGCUGAGAAAAUUCAAUUGCCAUGGGGCGUAAGCAAAGGUUUUUGAGCUGGAGAGGAAUAUGACCAACGCCAUCCAGCAGCAAGAGAAUGUACUCCAAGGAGAAGGAGACGGGCGCAACGAUAUCAUUUUGCACAUUUGGACAUGUCUGUGCACACGCAAAUGGUCAUUGGAUGAACAACCUCUCCCUAUUAUCAUAGGCUUGGGGUCCCACCCAAGUAAUCACCCUGUCUGUCCUUUGUGCUUUUAUCAGUACACAAGAAACCGAUGGGACUCCACAUCUCAGCUUUAUCAAUUAGGACUCCUCACCACCACUGCACAGUUCAGGGCCUUAUGCUAUGCCUACUGAGGCCUCCUCCUACCUCUCCACAAAUCUAGACCUUGCACUGGGAUGAGAAGUGGGUCUGCAAAGCAUGCCCUGAGCACCCGUUCACAGCCAGCUAUGUGCAGGAUCCUCACACCAAGGAGCUGGGGUGGGAGUUGAGUCAAUAGCCAGGCCUGCACCAUAGGCGUGACCCAGACAGGCCAUCACAUGGAGAUGGAAAGGCAGCAGAUAAG